CACGUAGGGCGCAAGCGUUGUCCGGAAUUAUUGGGCGUAAAGAGCUCGUAGGCGGUCUGUUACGUCUGCUGUGAAAACCCGGGGCUUAACCCUGGGCUUGCAGUGGAUACGGGCAGACUAGAGGCAGGUAGGGGAGAAUGGAAUUCCCGGUGUAGCGGUGAAAUGCGCAGAUAUCAGGAGGAACACCGGUGGCGAAGGCGGGAUCCUGGGCCAGUACUGACGCUGAGGAGCGAAAGCGUGGGGAGCAAACAGG
rnacentral:rRNA from 1 species